rnacentral:lncRNA from 1 species
UUUUUUUUAAAUCUCUGAUGUGUUGUCAUUUCCUUCUGAAUUCUGUGAAACUUAUUUUGCCUUUAUUACAGUCAUUCUAGUUUGGUUUUAACUAUGUGUUCUUUUGGGAUGAGAAUCAUGUCUUCCUUGGUUCUACAUCCUUAGAUGGAAAGACUUGCACACAGCCUCGCUUAUUCAUUUAUUUAUUCAUUCCACAAAUAUAAGUGAACAUCAACUAUAUGGAUUCUGUUCUAGUACUGGGGGUAUAAAAUGAAUAAGGCAGAUAUAGCUUUUAUUCUCAUAGAGCUGAAAGUUUCAAGGGGAAUUUUGACAAGUUAAUAGAAAAUUAAAGCUCAGUGCUUUUUUUUUUUUAAAGCAACGUUUUUCUGGUGAGGAAGAUUGGCCCUGAGCUGAUAUCUGUUGCCAAUCUUCCUCUUUUUUUUUUAAUCUCCCCAAAGCCCCAGUACAUAGUUGUAUGUCCUAGUUGUAAGUCAUUUUAGUUCUUCUAUGUGGGAUGCUGCCACAGUAUGGCUUGAUGAGUGGUGUGUAGGUCUGCACUCAGAAUCCAAACUGGGGAAUCCCGGGCCACUGAAGCAAAGUGCAUGAACUUAACCACUCGGCCACGGAGCCAGCCCCAAACCUCAGAGCUUUGAUGAGGUAUAGAGACCAAGAGAUCACUUGCCCUGAUUCAGGGGAUCAGAGAAGACAACCAUGAGGAAGUGAUAUGCUGAGAAAGAAUGAAGGAAAUGUGCAAAGUCCAGGAAAUGAGAGACGGGUAUAUUUCAGGAGCUGAAGGAAGUUCAGAAGUCCAGACUGGCUCAGAUGAAGAAUGCUUUAAAUUUACAUCAUACUUUCUGUCUAGAAAACUGAAAUCUACGGGGACCAGACAAAAAAAGGGGAAACCCAAGUUCAUAUGCAUGGCUAAACUAGCAAGGAACUCACAUAUUCUGCCUCCCAGAUCAGUUCUCUUUCCACUAAAUAUUUUGUUCUAUUUCUGCGUUUCUUUCAACAUCAAGCCUCUUUUUCCUCAUCCUACUUAUGGAAACCUGUUGAUGCAGAAACAAAUAAAUGCAAAUAUUUAAUGCAGUUUACAUCUCCUUAAGUCAUUCUCAUAUUUCCUACAUUCCAGUUAAACCGUGUUCUGAUUGGUCAUUCAUAAGAGAAUAACUUAAGUCCAAGGGUCACCUGUGAAACUUUGCCACAAGUAUUUUGACAAGAUCGCCUUAUCUACCACCAACUCUUCAGAAAAAUUUGAUGUAUGAGGAUAGCUUUACAUGACAGCAUUGCAAGAAAUAAAUGGAUGGAGAAUUUUUAAAAAAGAAAAGAAAAGUAUGGCUGAUCCCACAUUUACUCCUCUUCUGAAAUAUAGCAUGACUUUGAGGAAGAUGUGUCCAUGUGUUCCAGGUGGUGGCCAGCAGCAAAAGAGUUUUGCCCUUGGUGGAGUUGGGAGAGUUGAGGAGAAGCAGACAGUGCAGUAAAUCAGUGUCCGGGGCUCAAGAGACAAAGUCUUCCUUCUAAAACACUGGCAAAGUG